rnacentral:misc_RNA from 1 species
GAGCAUCUGAGCAGAGCAAAGUCGCACACAGAAACAUUUUCGCCACAACUGUCCCCCCAAAGCCCUUAUCUGCAUUCCCCAAAUCCAAUUUCUCCGGCAUCCAAACACGCCACCUAUGUUCCCUUCCGAUUCGGGUACCUGCCGAAAUGACGCGGUAGUUUUCUGGAAACUCACUUCCCUCUGUUGUAAUGAUGGCGAAGAGGGAAGAAGAAAUGAAGGAAAUCAGG